UGGGGAAUCUUGCACAAUGGGGGAAACCCUGAUGCAGCGACGCCGCGUGAGCGAUGAAGCCUUUCGGGGUGUAAAGCUCUUCCGCCAGGGACGAUGAUGACGGUACCUGGAGAAGCAGCUGCGGCUAACUACGUGCCAGCAGCCGCGGUAAUACGUAGGCAGCAAGCGUUGUUCGGAAUUACUGGGCGUAACGGGUGCGUAGGCGGUGCUCUAAGUUUGGUGUGAAAUCUCCUGGCUUAACUGGGGGGG
rnacentral:rRNA from 1 species